rnacentral:rRNA from 1 species
CCUACGGGAGGCAGCAGUGAGGAAUAUUGGUCAAUGGACGAGAGUCUGAACCAGCCAAGUAGCGUGAAGGAUGACUGCCCUAUGGGUUGUAAACUUCUUUUAUAAAGGAAUAAAACGAGGCACGCGUGCCUUUUUGCAUGUACUUUAUGAAUAAGGAUCGGCUAACUCCGUGCCAGCAGCCGCGGUAAUACGGAGGAUACGAGCGUUAUCCGGAUUUAUUGGGUUUAAAGGGAGCGUAGAUGGGUUGUUAAGUCAGUUGUGAAAGUUUGCGGCUCAACCGUAAGAUUGCAAUUGAUACUGGCAGUCUUGAGUACAGUUGAGGUAAGCGGAAUGCGUGGUGUAGCGGUGAAAUGCUUAGAUAUCACGAAGAACCCCGAUUGCGAAGGCAGCUUACUAAACUGUGACUGACAUUGAUGCUCGAAAGUGUGGGUAUCGAACAGGAUUAGAUACCCCAGUAGUC